rnacentral:rRNA from 1 species
CCUACGGGUGGCAGCAGUGAGGAAUAUUGGUCAAUGGGCGCAAGCCUGAACCAGCCAUGCCGCGUGAAGGAUGACUGCUCUACGGGUUGUAAACUUCUUUUAUACAAGAGUAAAGUGAGGCACGUGUGUCUUUCUGUAUGUACUUUACGAAUAAGGAUCGGCUAACUCCGUGCCAGCAGCCGCGGUAAUACGGAGGAUCCGAGCGUUAUCCGGAUUUAUUGGGUUUAAAGGGUGCGUAGAUGGGUUGUUAAGUCAGUGGUGAAAGUUUGCGGCUCAACUGUAGAAUUGCAAUUGAUACUGGCGGUCGUGAGUACAGUUGAGGUAGGCGGAAUGCGUGGUGUAGCGGUGAAAUGCUUAGAGAUCACGAAGAACUCCGAUUGCGAAGGCAGCUUACUAAACUGCAACUGACGUUGAUGCACGAAAGUGUGGGUAGCAAACAGGAUUAGAUACCCGAGUAGUC